rnacentral:rRNA from 1 species
CCUACGGGGGGCAGCAGUGGGGAAUAUUGGACAAUGGGCGAAAGCCUGAUCCAGCCAUGCCGCGUGUGUGAAGAAGGCCUUCGGGUUGUAAAGCACUUUCAGUGGGGAAGAAAGCCUUGGGGCUAAUACCCUCGAGGAAGGACAUCACCCACAGAAGAAGCACCGGCUAACUCCGUGCCAGCAGCCGCGGUAAUACGGAGGGUGCGAGCGUUAAUCGGAAUUACUGGGCGUAAAGCGCGCGUAGGCGGUCUGAUAAGCCGGUUGGGAAAGCCCCGGGCUCAACCUGGGAACGGCAUCCGGAACUGUCAGGCUAGAGUGCAGGAGAGGAAGGUAGAAUUCCCGGUGUAGCGGUGAAAUGCGUAGAGAUCGGGAGGAAUACCAGUGGCGAAGGCGGCCUUCUGGACUGACACUGACGCUGAGGUGCGAAAGCGUGGGUAGCAAACAGGAUUAGAUACCCUUGUAGUC